rnacentral:rRNA from 1 species
UACGAAGGGGGCUAGCGUUGCUCGGAAUCACUGGGCGUAAAGGGCGCGUAGGCGGCCGAUUAAGUCGGGGGUGAAAGCCUGUGGCUCAACCACAGAAUUGCCUCGAUACUGGUUGGCUUGAGACCGGAAGAGGACAGCGGAACUGCGAGUGUAGAGGUGAAAUUCGUAGAUAUUCGCAAGGAACACCAGUGGCGAAGGCGGCUGUCUGGUCCGGUUCUGACGCUGAGGCGCGAAAGCGUGGGGAGCAAACAGG